UACGUAUGGAGCAAGCGUUAUCCGGAUUUACUGGGUGUAAAGGGAGCGUAGACGGUUUUGCAAGUCUGAAGUGAAAGCCCGGGGCUCAACUCCGGGACUGCUUUGGAAACUGUAGAACUAGAGUGCAGGAGAGGUAAGUGGAAUUCCUAGUGUAGCGGUGAAAUGCGUAGAUAUCGGGAGGAACACCAACGGCGAAGGCAGCACUCUGGGCUGGAACUGACGCUGAGGAGCGAAAGCGUGGGUAGCAAACAGG
rnacentral:rRNA from 1 species